GCAGAGGUUUCCGAGCAUGGUCAAAGGAGCAGGGCUUAGGACCCUGUAGCGUAGAACUUUUAUCAUUAGAUAUUUAUGCGCAAGCUUUCGUGGGUUCGAAUCCCACCCUCUGCA
rnacentral:tRNA from 1 species